CCGGCACGGGUGAGUAACGCGUAUCCAACCUGCCGUCUACUCUUGGCCAGCCUUCUGAAAGGAAGAUUAAUCCAGGAUGGCAUCAUGAGUUCACAUGUCCGCAUGAUUAAAGGUAUUUUCCGGUAGACGAUGGGGAUGCGUUCCAUUAGAUAGUAGGCGGGGUAACGGCCCACCUAGUCAACGAUGGAUAGGGGUUCUGAGAGGAAGGUCCCCCACAUUGGAACUGAGACACGGUCCAA
rnacentral:rRNA from 1 species